CAGCGGCUCAAGAAGGCAGCUCACCACCGCCUUCUCAAGGGCAACUAGGGUUGGGCAAUAAAUGCUGGGCCAGCCAGCGAAGCCCACAUCCCAUGAAUGAAUAAAAACAGUUAUGGGCACCAGCUGCUGCAAAGUGGUUUCCAGUAUCCACAGAAUUUUGCUUUUUCCAUUGGUUUACCACUUGCUGACUGGAAUAUAGCUUCCGCGCUUUAGUUUUGAAUCUAACUCCCCUUGGCACGCAGGUGCUGGUUCUGCUGUUCUGGACAAAGUGAGACAACUUGUCCUGGCACUGGGAAGUUUCAAAUUCUGGAAUGGGCAGGGUCCCAGUCACCAUUUUCUCGUCCAUCUCUCAACACGGUUUGUCUUCAAUUCCCGUCUCCCUCGCACAACGUGAUAUAUGGAUGGAGCAGUUGAAACAGCUUGGCCACGCCCCUCGUUAUGCUGUAAAAUGCCUUUAAGGGGCAGCAGCCUGCCAUCACUAGAAAGGAAGUGUGUCAUGUGAUCCAGUCUCAGUUUCACUUUUGCCUGUGAGCACAGCACACAGCUCUGCUACUGAUGUGUCUUCAAGCUUUCUAUCCUUGUGCGUGUGUUCUUAUGUGCCUAGUCUAAAGAAAUGGACCCACAACAUGUUUACCAAAUCCCUUAUGAAUGAUCAGUGCCUUUAUAUUACUGAUUCAUCAGCGGAGGGGGGCGAUACGUGGUAACCAGCAGGAGGUUUCCUUCCCCAUGUUUGACCCGAUGCCAUAAGACUUCAUGGGGUCCAGGGUUGAUGUUGAGGUCUCCCAGGGCAACUCCCACCCAACUGUAUACCAGUGAUUGGUGCCUUUGUAUCAUGAUAGAAACACAACAUGGUGUUCUGCAGUGGUCAAACAGCCUGGCAGCAAGAUUAGUUACAGGUACGAUAUGGUGAACAGCCUGAGGUCAUGCUACAUGGCAUGAGAUGACCCUCGGCGUUUUUGUCAGACUGCUACGAAGCAGAGAGUGUUGAAAUCGCAGCGUGGUGACUGUACAGCAGAGCUUUGAAGACACAGUGCCAGGAUAGUACUCAAGUAAAGAGCUGGUAAUCAGGUUGGUCCCUUGUGGUGAGAUUGCAGCGCCUAACCUGUCAGUUCUGUGAGUGGGACAAUGCAUCGAGAGGAACACCACCAGGUUAGCUCGUUCAGGACAGGCGAGUGACCAGGGUGUGGGCCGGAUCAAUAGCGAGGGAGGGAGAACCAAACAAAAAAAAGAACCAAAAGAAAGUCAUCAUAAAAACCGGUCCAGAGAAGGUUCGAUCAUAACGGAUGGAGCUUCAGAAAAAGUGAGUGGAAGCGGCUACAUCGACACUCAUCCCAGGCACUCCUAGGAGAAGGCAGGUCAAAGGAAUAUCGUCAAAAUGUCCAUGAAAUUUCCCAGUUUGAAUUCGGAUGCGUCUGCCCUACUAAUCAAAUUCAAAGUGUUUGAACAGCGCACAGAGCUACAGGGCAGAAAUUUCCGGUCGGCGUGCGAGGGUGGGCCCAACACGCCUACGUGUAAAAUGACUCGCAGUGAUGUCAGGGGUGUGUCCCAACGUCAUUGCGAUAUUUUGUUCGGUGGGAGCGCACCAGAGUUGGAUGCGUGCCCGCCAAAACGUAAACGGCCUAUUAAGGCCAUUAAGAAAUCAAUUGAGCCACUUGAGAACGCUACCCAUCCAACCUUAAAGUCUUUCGGGGAAACCCCAUCCACGAGCGGG